rnacentral:misc_RNA from 1 species
ACAUUAACACAAUCAGCACCAGUAUCACAACCAGCUCCUAUGAUGGCGGGUAUGGGUGUUACAGCUGGCCCUAUUCCAGAGGACUUUUUCCAAAAUACUAUUCCUUCCCUCCAAGUUGCAGCAUCAUUGCCUCCUCCUGGAACAUAUCUUGCAAAACUGGAUCAAACUUCUCAGCAAGUUGAAAGUGACAAGGUAAUGCCUAAUCCAGUUGGUCCUUCUGUGGCUGACAUUGGUCUUUCAGAUGGUGGUGUUUCCCCACAAGCCACUCAGCAAGCUGUCUC